AUACGUAGGUGGCAAGCGUUGUCCGGAAUUAUUGGGCGUAAAGCGCGCGCAGGUGGUUCCUUAAGUCUGAUGUGAAAGCCCCCGGCUCAACCGGGGAGGGUCAUUGGAAACUGGGGAACUUGAGUGCAGAAGAGGAUAGUGGAAUUCCAAGUAUAGCGGUGAAAUGGGUAGAGAUUUGGAGGAACACCAGUGGCGAAGGCGACUUUGUGGUCUGUAACGGACACUGAGGCGCGAAGCCUUGGGGAGCAACCAGGAUUAGAGACCCUGGUAGUCCACGCCGUAAACGAUGAGUGCUAAGUGUUGGGGGGUUCCCGCCCCUCAGUGCUGCAGCUAACGCAUUAAGCACUCCGCCUGGGGAGUACGGUCGCAAGACUGAAACUCAAAGGAAUUGACGGGG
rnacentral:rRNA from 1 species